ACUGCUUCAUUAACCUCUUCUAAACACCUUUCCGACAUGCUGGGCCCACAAGUCAGGUUGACCAUUAUCUUUGACCCUUGUUACAGAUAGGACCCACACGUCAGAUCUUUCUUCCACAUCUCUCCACCCUCAUGUGCAUCGAACAGGUUAUGUGCGUCUCGUCGCAGAGCACGGAGAGCUCGAAGGCCGCCUCCUCCUCCUCAUCAUCGG
rnacentral:lncRNA from 1 species